UUUCUUGCUCCGUUUCCUUGGUACCCGAACCGGAGAACUAUCCACAAGACCGCUUCAUGCUCCAAACUCGAGAAGAAGCUUUCGAAGGCGCGUGUACCAUUACUUGUACUUAUUAUUCCACUAGUUAUUUUUGGCAAGAUCAAUAUAUAGUGAUCAGUUAUGAUUGCUCAAACUACGGUACAUAGUUUCAAGUUAGGCCUUACUUCAGUCUGGUCUCCUCUCCCAGGUCUCAGCUUCAGGCUCCCACUGAAAAACGUAUGAAAAUGGCAAGGCAAGCAAAUGCACGAACGUAUUGGAGGCUUUCUCUCAUAAGAAUCUUCUUUUCAUCAGUAUACGCCUGAUCGGCGAGUUCAGUCACACCUAUAGGUCCGCUACUUCAAAGGCAUCGCCUCACUUAGAUCGCCGGGGUUGGAGCUUCUUCGACCUCUAGCCAUGACACUCCUCCCUUACCUUGGGCUUCAGUAGGUUUCCUAUGCUACUGAAUCAGAUCUUUGGCUUUACCGUGUUACUAUUCGGAGAAUGGAGGUAAUCUCUCUCUAUCUUCAGUCAGUCAUUUCUACCGGCUCUGGCGCUACGCACCUUUAGGAAGGAAAGCAAGUCCCAUCGAUUGAGCUGUUGAUGGAAUAAGGGUUGAUUUCAAACUUGAAAGAGGCCCAGGUCUUGGAAUCGGGCUAGGAGCAGCUAUUGAAUUUGUCCAGUCGAAAGGGAAAGGCGAUGACUAUCAGUUCUGACUCUUUUUCCAAAGGAAGCGAGUGGAAUAUAAGACAGCGAGUAAGGGAGUGAGUCUGUCCAAAUAAGCUCUUAAGAAGCGGAGUUUCACUCGACAAAAAGGGUUUGGACUGAAACCAUUCUCAGACGGAAUCGACUGACUUCUAGUUGCAUCGGAUCUAGAGAUCUGUUGCCAGUUCCGAUAGAAGGAAAGGAGUAAGGUNGGCUCUUAAGAAGCGGAGUUUCACUUGACAAAAAGGGUUUGGACUGAAACCAUUCUCAGACGGAAUCGACUGACUUUUAGUUGCAUCGGAUCUAGAGAUCUAUUGCCAGUUCCAAUAGAAGGAAAGACCAACUCUAUCUUAACGACCGGUAAAGCCCUUUCUCUAGGAUAUGGCACUUCACUGCUCGGAGAGGAAUGAAUUCUUCUCCAAAUCAUCUCUUCCUUUAUUGUUGUUAAGAAAGAAGUCAAUUACGUUCGAGCUUUUUGUCAACUGAUUCCACUCAAGCAAUAGAAAGAAAGGCUAUCUCCUCUAAUCUCUAACUAUGCUGAGUUCAAUCAAGCUAAGAACUAGUCGACCUCCUUACUUCUUUACCGCUCCUUCCCCUCACCCUCAAGUCACGACCUAAUGUAAGUUCUUUCAGUCCUUUUCGAGCUAGCAUAGCUGCUGAUAUGGAAUAGCCCUUCUCUAGCCUGGAGCCUGGAAAAGCAAAGUCCGAUCUACGAU
rnacentral:lncRNA from 1 species